UAGCAGGUCCAAAGUUUCCAUGAUGUG
rnacentral:piRNA from 1 species